rnacentral:rRNA from 1 species
CGGUAACAUUCCUAGCUUGCUAGAAGAUGACGAGUGGCGGACGGGUGAGUAAUGCUUGGGAACUUGCCUUUGCGAGGGGGAUAACAGUUGGAAACGACUGCUAAUACCGCAUAAUGUCUUCGGACCAAACGGGGCUUAGGCUCCGGCGCAAAGAGAGGCCCAAGUGAGAUUAGCUAGUUGGUAAGGUAACGGCUUACCAAGGCGACGAUCUCUAGCUGUUCUGAGAGGAAGAUCAGCCACACUGGGACUGAGACACGGCCCAGACUCCUACGGGAGGCAGCAGUGGGGAAUAUUGCACAAUGGGGGAAACCCUGAUGCAGCCAUGCCGCGUGUGUGAAGGAGGCCUUCGGGUUGUAAAGCACUUUCAGUUGUGAGGAAAAGUUAGUAGUUAAUACCUGCUAGCCGUGACGUUAACAACAGAAGAAGCACCGGCUAACUCCGUGCCAGCAGCCGCGGUAAUACGGAGGGUGCGAGCGUUAAUCGGAAUUACUGGGCGUAAAGCGCACGCAGGCGGUUUGUUAAGCUAGAUGUGAAAGCCCCGGGCUCAACCUGGGAUGGUCAUUUAGAACUGGCAGACUAGAGUCUUGGAGAGGGGAGUGGAAUUCCAGGUGUAGCGGUGAAAUGCGUAGAUAUCUGGAGGAACAUCAGUGGCGAAGGCGACUCCCUGGCCAAAGACUGACGCUCAUGUGCGAAAGUGUGGGUAGCGAACAGGAUUAGAUACCCUGGUAGUCCACACCGUAAACGCUGUCUACUAGCUGUGUGUGUCUUUAAGACGUGCGUAGCGAAGCUAACGCGCUAAGUAGACCGCCUGGGGAGUACGGCCGCAAGGUUAAAACUCAAAUGAAUUGACGGGGGCCCGCACAAGCGGUGGAGCAUGUGGUUUAAUUCGAUGCAACGCGAAGAACCUUACCUACACUUGACAUGCUGAGAAGUUACUAGAGAUAGUUUCGUGCCUUCGGGAACUCA